UUCAGGACCUUGAACAAAGGUAACAUGUACACAUCAUAACUUUUAGCACUGUAUUGCUUUUCUCAAAAUGUUCAUAAUAUAUAUUUGUAAUAUGUUUUUUGCAGCUUACAUGACAUGAGCAUUGUUGAGGAGGACUUGGAGGAAAAUGUUUUCAAUGACCCAAUGAACAGUGUGUAAGUAGUACUUCCUAAUUACAUGUAUUAUUUUUCAGUGAUAUUAUUUGAGAACUUGUUUUUAUCUGAUUGUCAUUAUGUAAAGAAUUGAUUGGGCAGAUAAAGCUUCAUCUUACUCCCUUGAAAGAGAUGAUGGACAGAAUGGUUUCAGCUCUGAUGAAGAGGAUCUUCCACCGAUUUCUAUACGGUGUGUUUGUCAGUCUCAAUUUGCAAUUGUUUUGUGGUGUUUGUUUAAUACAGAUUUUUGUGCCUAAGUAGAAUGGGUAGAGCACUGAAGAAAGCUCACUCUAUCGAUGGACUUCCUUGCCUACACAUGAAGACGCUCCUGAUGAGCGUUCUCCCUGUGAUCAUGACCUUGUUUUCCCAGAACCACAGAAUGUCCGUUGUGAAGAUGACAUCAUAGGUGUCAGAGCCUCCAUAGUGUACGAGAACUGCUUAAGACAACUGGCUACAUUUCUGAUCCUGCCUGUGGAUAAAUGCACUGGCCUUCUGAGAACUGGUGCGCCAUGCAACUCUGUUGCACCCUUUGAGAUCAACAUCACCAAGGGCACAGCAGCUACUAUCGAAUGGAUAUAAUGGACAUAGCUUGUGGAGGUGGAAUUCCCAGCCUGUGAUGAAAUUUGGGAUGCAAACUGGAAAUUCAUGAACAUGGGGAUGGUGAACAGGAAGACUUUUUUCUCCAUUCAGGACACUUACUGCGUCAGUACAAUAAAGGACUUCUGGGAAGAGAGGUUCUUUGUUGCCUUCAAGGGAAAGAUGUUGUUGUCCUAGAAAUGACUCUCCUGGUCACUGCACAAUACUGCAGCUACACCACCAUGGAGAUCAUUCAUGUUGCCACCAUAGACAAGUGGCAAACAUCAUGGAACUCUGUCGUCAUGGAGAAGGAGGGUUUCAUCCAGACUGGACAAGCUUACAUCAGAAAUAAAGCUAGUGGAGAUCUGCACAGAUGCUCAUGCCCAGAUUGGUGCCCUUAUGAGCAGCAAAGAUAAAAGGAGAGUCCAUCCUCUUCAACUGGCUGAAGGACAUACCAUUUUCGGUGGUGUUGCAAGACUGCUGACACACGUGGGCAGUUUCUUGCAUUAUGGGUUGGCAUCCUUCACCAUGUCUGCAACAUUUACACCUGGACUAUGGUAAGUUGCAAACAUGGGCACCUUGAAUCGGAUCAAAUGCGGGGAAAGAUGUGGAUCCAGAGAGACUCCCAGUGCCACAAAGCUUUAGUGGAUAUAGUUCUCGAUAAGAGGUGGCAGAAAGAUGUUCACAACUAUCUGCGAUUCAGAUCAACUGCAGACCUAGAGUCAUUCCAGAAUCAUAUCCUGAUGUAUGCCAGCAAGCCCUACGCUUUUCAGCCACACAGUUUACCCAGUUUUAAGAGUUCUGCUUGCUGCUUUGGACUACAAUUUCCACCGGAACCGACCAACAAUGAAAACGUUGGAUGGCAAAGAGAUUAUUUCAGUUUCAAAAGAUUGUAUAAGAAGAACGGUAGAAGAUACAGCAUAUAUGCCUUGAAAUCUGAAAAAAUCUACGGAUACAUUUCCGAGUUGCAAAGAAGGAUUGUGAAGAACAGACUCACAAGUGGAGUGGGGAUGCCUAGAAGGAGGAGCCUUCUCCCAGAUGACCCCAGACAGCUUGGUUUGGUGCCCCCCGUACCUGCACCAGCCACAUCAGACUUGUUGCAGAGACAAGUCAGAAGAGGUCUAGGACUGUUAUUCCAACCAGCAUCUGAUGUGGAAGGAUCCUCAUAGGAGAUCACCUUGCAUGUGUCCUGGUACUUGUCAGGCAGCAUCACAAGGGAAAGAACUUCAGUUCACUGACAAAGUCAUAGCUUUUACUCUUCAAAAAGAGAAAUUAACAUUAAAUUCUGUUCCUACCCACCUACAGUGGUUAUUUCAUGUUUUUCCAAUUUGUACACGUUUCAUCUUAUUCUGCUAAGUCCACUGUGACCAGCGCAUAUUAUUUUCAUUAGGUAGCCUAAAUUACAGUUUACAAUUUGAACAGUAAUGAUAAGUAAGGCUACAGCUGUCCCCUAUUAUGUAAAUAACAAAAAUUGGUAUUGGAAAUGUUAUG